UAUGUGUUAACUUGAUUAAAGAAAUAAUUGACCCACUUUGGGUAAAAUAAUAUGUAGUUAACCUGCAAAUAUGUGUAAUUUGAGCAAUGUUUGCUUACAAAUAAAAAUGUCAACCUAUCUAUGCUGAAAAAAACUUGAAACCAUUAAAAUCACUCUUUCCUUUCUUUAGAACUUCAUUCUAGAGAGAAGCAGGCUUUAGUAGAGGAGAUCAUACAACUGAAGAGAAGGAAGGAACAGACAGACAGACAGGCCUCUGAAAAGGAAAUGGAGCUAUUGCAUGUCAGGCAGGAAUUAGAACAGCAACAAACGAAUCUGAGUAAUUGUGAACAGAAAAUCCUUGUGAUACAGUCAAAGUUGAAGCAACGUUCAGAUCAGCGGACGGCAAUAGAGUUGCAGCUUUCUGAAAAGAGAAAGGAACUUACUAAAGUGCGGUUUGCUGUGCAUGAAAUGGAAGACAAAAUAUUUAAAAAAACAGCAAUGAUGCAAGACCAGAUCACACAUGACAUCAGAAGUGAGAUAAGUUUUCUUCAUCAGCAAUUGAGAGAGAAAGAACUACUGGCAGAGCAGGAUCGUUUCCUAAGAAGCAAAAUGAUGGAUGAUUAUGCAUCCCUGACCACAGAGAAUGCUGUGCUGCGUUCCCAGCUCUUGGAACUUAACAAGCAACUGAACAUAGAGAGAGCCCUCAGGGAAGAGAGUUAUAUAUCUCAGUCUUCCAGCUUUACUCAACUUCUCAAAGUGAAAGACCAAGAAGAGCAUCUGAAAAAUGAGAUCAAGAUGCACCAAGAGCUCUUGCAGCAGGAAAAAAAAAACUUGCAGGAACUUACGGAAAAGAUUCAUAUUUUGGAACAAGGAAGCCCAUCUCUUGACUUAAAUGUAGCAACAAUAUUUAGUCGAAUAGCUGAAAUGAAGGGUAUGCUGGACAAAGAGGAACAGGAUAAUAUUGAACUACAAAGAGAUAAAGCUUUGUUGGUAGAUCUUGUAUCUAGUUUACAAAACCAGCUUGUUGGGAGGGACAAUGAACUCUCACAAACAUCUACUAAGAUGCUGCAGCUUGAUCAGGAUAUUUCAGCACUGAAAACAAAGCAUGUGCUACGUCAGUCUCUUCAGUCAGAAAAAUGGCAGGAAAUCUCCAAAAUGGCAAGCUCAAUGAGGAAACUUACCAAAUCAAUGACAGAUGUAGCUGAUAGCAUGGGGAAAUAUUAGGCUGGGUGAUGCAAUUAGAGGUACUAUGCUGUAGAUGGAAAAUUAAUCCUUUAAGUACAUCAUGACUUUAAUUUCAGUGGGCUAUUCAUCUUUAUGAUCACUUUUGUUUUUAACAAAAUUGAUUUCAGAGAUUUAAAAUGCUAUGAAAAUACUUGUAAUGGAGCAGUUUCUUUUUCACUCUACCACAUAGACAUGAGAUUGUCUUCAUGAAGCCAAUAAACAGUAUUGAUUUGGUUCCUUAAAUGUAUUU
rnacentral:lncRNA from 1 species